rnacentral:rRNA from 1 species
UACGUAGGGCGCAAGCGUUAUCCGGAAUUAUUGGGCGUAAAGAGCUCGUAGGCGGUUCGUCGCGUCGGCUGUGAAAUCCCGAGGCUCAACCUCGGGUCUGCAGUCGAUACGGGCGGGCUGGAGUUCGGCAGGGGAGACUGGAAUUCCUGGUGUAGCGGUGAAAUGCGCAGAUAUCAGGAGGAACACCGGUGGCGAAGGCGGGUCUCUGGGCCGAUACUGACGCUGAGGAGCGAAAGCGUGGGGAGCGAACAGG